rnacentral:tRNA from 1 species
GGGGUAUAGCUCAGUUGGGAGAGCACUGCCUUGCACCAGGGGUCAAGAGUUCGAAUCUCUUUAUCUCCA